rnacentral:rRNA from 1 species
AUGAAUGCUGGCGGCGUGUCUAAGGCAUGCGAGUCGAACGGAUUGCUUCACGUAGCAAUACGUGAAGCAGUUAGUGGCAAACGGGUGCGUAACACACUGGUACCUGCCUCGUAGUCGGGCAUAAGCCUCCGAAAGGGGGUCUAAUUCCACGAUGGUCUCGCAAGAGUAAAGUCGUAAGACGCUACGAGAGGGGCCUAUGGCCUAUCAGCUUGUUGGCGGGGUAAAAGCCCACCAAGGCGAUGACGGGUAUGGGGUGUGAGAGCACGACCCCACUCACUGGGACUGAGACACUGCCCAGACACCUACGGGUGGCUGCAGUCGAGAAUAUUCCCCAAUGGCCGAAAGGCUGAGGGAGCGACGCCGCGUGCGGGAAGAAGGCCUUCGGGUCGUAAACCGCUUUUACCAAGGACGAAUACUGACGGUACUUGGAGAAUAAGAGGUUGCUAACUCUGUGCCAGCAGCAGCGGUAAUACAGAGACCUCGAGCAUUAUCCGGAUUUAUUGGGCGUAAAGGGUCCGCAGGUGGCCGUUCACGUCGAUGGUUAAAUUUCAGGGCUCAACCCUGAAACCGCCACCGAUACGGUUCGGCUCGAGCAUGGGAGAGGUACGCGGAAUUACCGGUGUAGUAGUAAAAUGCGUUAAUAUCGGUAAGAACACCAAAUGCGAAGGCAGCGUACUGGAACAUUGCUGACACUCAGGGACGAAAGCGUGGGGAGCGAAAGGGAUUAGAUACCCCUGUAGUCCACGCCCUAAACGAUGGAUGCUAGAUAUCGGGAGUAUCGACCCUCCCGGUGUCGGUUAAAAUAGUAAACACAUUAAGCAUCCCGCCUGGGGAGUACGGUCGCAAGACUAAAACUCAAAGGAAUAGACGGGGACCCGCACAAGCGGAGGAGCAUGUGGUUUAAUUCGACGGUAAGCGAGGAACCUCACCUAGGUUUGACAUGAAGCUGCGAGCCGCUAGAAACAGUGGCCGCCUUCGAGGGUGCUUCACAGGUGCUGCAUGGUUGCCGUCAGCUCGUGUCGUGAGAUGUACCGUUAAGUCGGGGUAACGAGCGCAACCCCCGUCCCGUGUUGUUUUUUCACGGGAGACCGCCUCGGAUAACGGGGAGGAAGGUGGGGAUGACGUCAAAUCAGCAUGGCUCUUACACCUAGGGCUACACACGUGCUACAAUGGCCGGGACAAUGGGCUGCCAAGCCGUAAGGCGGAGCUAAUCCCAUCAAACCCGGCCCCAGUUCGGAUUGGGGGCUGCAAUUCGCCCCCAUGAAGCCGGAUUCGCUAGUAAACGCCUAUCAGCCACGGGGCGUUGAAUACGUUCUCGGGUCUUGUACUCACCGCCCGUCACGUCAAGAGAGUCGGAAAUACCCGAAGGUCCCGAUGAGGGAACGAAGGUAGAGCCGCUGAUAGGGACG